CUCAACUACACUCCACAAAUCUUGAGCUUGAAGAUAUGUCUUCAUCUUGACUACCCAAAUAUGGUAGUUUUCACCAGAAAAUACUGGAGGUGGAGGUGCUGUAAAGCUCAUCUUGCUGAAACAAACUUAAUAGCCCCAAUUUCUUCCUUCUCAAGCUUAUAUUUUCUCAACAAAGCAACCAACAAAAUAGAGGCCCUCAAAGACUUAGGCUCUGAAUACCAUUUGUUGGAACAUUUG
rnacentral:lncRNA from 1 species